rnacentral:rRNA from 1 species
CAGUCGCCGCGGUAAUACGUAGGGUGCGAGCGUUAAUCGGAAUUACUGGGCGUAAAGCGUGCGCAGGCGGUUGUGUAAGGCAGGUGUGAAAUCCCCGGGCUUAACCUGGGAACUGCGCUUGUGACUGCACAGCUAGAGUAUGGCAGAGGGGGGUGGAAUUCCACGUGUAGCAGUGAAAUGCGUAGAGAUGUGGAGGAACACCGAUGGCGAAGGCAGCCCCCUGGGCCAAUACUGACGCUCAUGCACGAAAGCGUGGGGAGCAAACAGGAUUAGAUACCCGAGUAGUCCCUGUCUCUUAUAC